GAAUAUGAAGGCGAUCUGGCUACCACUUCUGUCACCCUAUUGAUCACCAGCGUUAUUCAGCUGAUUUGGCUGGCUAAGUGGGUGUCUCCUUUCUCCUCACCACUCCAUGUGCAUGACUCCUGAAGCUGUGUGCUUGGUGGAAGAGGACAAACCAUCCCAGAUUAAAAGGAGUGUACUGAUCUUCCAUCAAGAAUAUACUCUAGCUUUGCUCCCCUGCUGGAAUCUUCAAACAAGCUCACCAGUAUAACUACCCAUCCAUAAGAAUUAUGGUGCUGCCAAAUUGAAGGUGGGUAGAGGUUAAAGCAUUUGGUUACAAA
rnacentral:snRNA from 1 species